GGAGGGUUGGUGGGUUGUGUGGAAGGUUGGUGGCUGGAAGGUUGGUGGGUUGUGUGGAAAGAAAGUUAGGUGGAGGGUUGGUGGGUUGUGCAGAAGGAAGGUUAGGUGGAGGGUUGGUGGGUUGUGCGGCAGGAAGGUUAGGUGGAGGGUUGGUGGGUUGUGGGGAAGGAAGGUUAGGUGGAAGGUUGGUGGGUUGUGUGGAAGGAAGCUUAGGUGGAGGGUUGGUGGGUUGUGUGGAAGGUUGGUGGGUUGUGUGGAAGGAAGGUUAGGAGGAAGGUUGGUGGGUUAUGUGGAAGGAAGGUUAGGAGAAAGGUUGGUGGGUUGUGCAGAAGGAAGGUUAGGUGGAGGGUUGGUGGGUUGUGUGGAAGGUUGGUGGGUUGUGUGGAAGGAAGGUUAGGAGGAAGGUUGGUGGGUUGUGUGAAAGGAAGGUUAGGUGGAACGUUGGUGGGUUGUGUGGGAGGAAGGUUAGGAGGAAGGUUGGUGGGUUGUGCGGAAGGAAGGUUAGGUGGAGGUUUGGUGGGUUGUGUGGAAGGUUGGUGGGUUGUGUGGAAGGAAGGUUAGGAGGAAGGUUGGUGGGUUGUAUGGAAGGAAGGUUAGGAGGAAGAUUGGUGGGUUGUGUGGAAGGAAGUUUGGUGGAAGGUUGGUGGGUUGUGUGGAAGGAAGGUUAGGAGGAAGGUUGGUGGGUUGUGUGGAAGGAAGGUUAGGAGGAAGGUUGGUGGGUUGUGUGGAAGGAAGGUUAGGUGGAGGGUUGGUGGGUUGUGUGGAAGGAAGGUUAGGUGGAGGGUUGGUGGGUUGUGUGGAAGGAAGGUUAGGUGGAGGGUUGGUGGGUUGUGUGGAAGGAAGGUUAGGUGGAGGGUUGGUGGGUUGUGUGGAAGGAAGGUUAGGUGGAGGGUUGGUGGGUUGUGUGGAAGGAAGUUUGGGUGGAGGAAUCUUAGACUGCUGUGCAGUAUUAAGAAAGUUCAGCAAGGACAAUGUAACAUCUUGGAGCUAAAGUUGCCCAUUAGAGGGGUCCC
rnacentral:lncRNA from 10 species